UAAUUUAUAUUUUACGGUUUAGAAAACUAUGCUCUUAAAUAGAUUUCAAAGUUAGGAAAAUGGUAAAUAAAUGUAGUGAAACUGCAACCUUAAAUAGACAGACAUAAACUGCAAGAAAUUAUUAUUAUGGUUUUUAUGUAAGGCGGUCUCUAGCGCUAAAAUUUUGAACUAUAUUCAAAUUUUCAACUUUCAAGUAGCUUUCUUAAAACCGGUUUUUUGAAAAUUUUCGUAGAUUUUAUAUAAAAAUUUCGGACAAAUAUCUAUUAGGCGACCAAUAGUGAAUAGACAUCAAGCAGGGAGUCCAUGAGGUUGAAUUCUGUUGAUUUACCCGACCUGAGGAAGUGAGUUGACCCCUCUGUGUGGAGUAGACAACGAUAAUUUUCCAGAGGAGGUUAAGAUGCAAGUUAGAGAAAAGUGCUUUAAAUAUAGCUGAAGAGGAAACUUCUUAAGUAGAUAAGGGAAAACUGUACACUGUACAGGUGCAGGAUCCAGGUAUGGUGAGUUCUCAGACUUCAUACAACUAAUGUAAAGGAAUCCGAGCAGAUGCAUCUAAAACCGCAUGUAAUGUGAAGAGUACCCUAGAAGUUACUUUAGAGAAGUCUGAGAAGAUUAAGCUAGUCCAGUGUAAUUAAUGAACAGGUUUGAUGAGGAAGAAUUAUUGAGAACUUGAAUAUUCCGACAUCUAUUUUAUCAUAUCUCUUGGACAAUGGACACAUAUUUUCCAAAAGUAACAAAGAACUUGUUCCAGACUCAGAGUAGCGCAGCAAGCACUUUAAAGCAUAGUGAGAAUUAGAAAACUGUGAAAAUAAUGUCGUAUUUAUUUUUUCUUUAAACAGCGUUAAGGAUUUUAAUCAUCUACAAUUGCAAUAAAUUCGAUUGUUUUUGUUUUUUCUUGUAAACUUUUUUUAUGAACUAUCAGAUAGUUCAAAUGUUUCUGAUCAAGCCAGUUCUUUAAAGAUUUAUUUUAAUUUCUAAAUCUAGUAAUAAAUAAGUACUCGCUUCACACUCUAAUUUGCCAUUUCCUUCA